UACAGAGGUCUCAAGCGUUGUUCGGAUUCAUUGGGCGUAAAGGGUGCGUAGGCGGCGCGGUAAGUCGGGUGUGAAAUCUCGGGGCUUAACUCCGAAACUGCAUUCGAUACUGCCGUGCUUGAGGACUGGAGAGGAGACUGGAAUUUACGGUGUAGCGGUGAAAUGCGUAGAUAUCUGGAGGAAUACCGGUGGCGAAGGCGGCAUCCUGGACCGGCAUUGACGCUGAGGUGCGAAAGCGUGGGGGAGCAAACAGGG
rnacentral:rRNA from 1 species